rnacentral:lncRNA from 1 species
GCCUUGCCCAAUCAUUCCGUUCACUUUGUCACCCCCUUCGUCUCCACAUGGUGGUGAUGACUCUGUCAGUUGUUGUCUGGUGGAAUAUCACUGGCCACGAUCACCCAUUGGUUUUGUCAAUUGGCUUUGCUUUUCUAGAGGAAAAACGAAUGAUAAAUACUUACCGCACAGCAUCAAUCUUAAAUAAUGAUAUUGUUACUUAAAGCAGGAUAGGUUGGGCCAGUGGUAUUGUAUAUACCUGUAACGGAUAAAAUCCUAAUGUUCGAUCCGAAGGCACGGAUAGACUCUAAUCAUGACC